CAGCAGCCGCGGGAAUACGAAGGGUGCAAGCGUUAAUCGGAAUUACUGGGCGUAAAGGGUGCGUAGGCGGGAGGGCACGUCCGUCGCUGAAAUCCCCCGGCUCAACCGGGGAACGGGCGCGGAUACGACUCUUCUGGAGGAACGUAGGGGGACCUGGAACUUCCGGUGGAGCGGUGAAAUGCGUUGAGGUCGGAAGGAACGCCCGUGGCGAAAGCGAGGUCCUGGACGUUUACUGACGCUGAGACGCGAAAGCCAGGGGAGCGAACGGAAUUAGAGACCCCAGUAGUCCCUGUCUCUUAUA
rnacentral:rRNA from 1 species